UUAAUUACCCAAGUUUGAGGGC
rnacentral:misc_RNA from 1 species